rnacentral:rRNA from 1 species
AUUGAACGCUGGCGGCAUGCCUUACACAUGCAAGUCGAACGGCAGCGGGGACUUCGGUCCGCCGGCGAGUGGCGAACGGGUGAGUAAUGUAUCGGAACGUACCAUUGAGUGGGGGAUAACUAUCCGAAAGGAUAGCUAAUACCGCAUAUUCUCUCCGGAGGAAAGCAGGGGACCGCAAGGCCUUGCGCUCAUUGAGCGGCCGAUAUCAGAUUAGCUAGUUGGUGAGGUAAAGGCUAACCAAGGCGAUGAUGGAUAGCCGGCCUGAGAGGGCGACCGGCCACAUCGGAACUUAGACACGGUCCAAACUCCUACGGGAGGCAGCAGUGGGGAAUAUUGCACAAUGGGCGAAAGCCUGAUGCAGCGACGCCGCGUGGAGGAUGACGGUCUUCGGAUUGUAAACUCCUGUUAAGUGGGAAAAAAGAACUUCUGUUAAUAGCAGAGGGAGAUGAUGGUACCACUAGAGAAAGCACCGGCUAACUUCGUGCCAGCAGCCGCCGUAACAC